AAUAGCCUAACGGCUGAACCAGCAACUUGGAAGAAUGUAUAGCAAAUGCUAAUCCGUGAUAUCGAUUUACUCGAAUAAAAUUCUGGGUGAAAUUAUGAUAAUGACAUUAUUUUGCUUAUGUGUCUUGACCAAAUUACGUGCCAGCAGUCGCGGUAAUACGUAGAAGACUAGUGUUAUUCAUCUUUAAUAGGUUUAAAGGGUACCUAGACAGUAAAUUAAGCCUAUAGGUACUGGUUUGCUAGAGUUACAUAUAAGGAAGCUUUAAGGUACUACUGAGUGUAGAGAUAAAAUUCUUUGAUACCAUUAUUCGUGAGAUAGGUUAAGGCACGGUUUUAGGCGAAAGCAUCUUCUUAUGCGAUAGCGUCAUAUAACAAAAAGGAUUAGGUACCCAAGUAGUUGACAGCAGACAAUGAUGAGUGUCAUAGGUUAAUUUAGUCUAUAAAUGAUAGUGUAAGCACUCCACCUCAAGAGUAAUUUGGCAACAUUGGAACUGAAAUCAUUAGACCGUUUCUGAAACCAGUAGUGAAGUAUGUUGUUUAAUUUGAUAAUCCGCAAAAAACCUUACCAUGAAUAUAUACAAGCGUUGCACGGCUGUCUUCAGUUAAUGUCGUGAGAUUUUGGUUAGAUCCAUUAAAUUAACGUAAACCCUUACUUUAUUUUGAUAUAAAGUAGUUCUCCGUUACAUUGGAUAAGAUAAAAGGGACUAAGGCAAGUCAUCAUGGCCAUCAUGUA
rnacentral:rRNA from 1 species